rnacentral:rRNA from 1 species
CCUACGGGAGGCAGCAGUGAGGAAUAUUGGUCAAUGGACGAGAGUCUGAACCAGCCAAGUAGCGUGAAGGAUGACUGCCCUAUGGGUUGUAAACUUAUUUUAUAUGGGAAUAAAAUGUUCCACGUGUGGGAUUUUGUAUGUACCAUAUGAAUAAGGAUCGGCUAACUCCGUGCCAGCAGCCGCGGUAAUACGGGGGAUCCGAGCGUUAUCCGGAUUUAUUUGGUUUAAAGGGAGCGUAGGUGGAUUGUUAAGUCAGUUGUGAAAGUUUGCGGCUCAACCGUAAAAUUGCAGUUGAAACUGGCAGUCUUGAGUACAGUAGAGGUGGGCGGAAUUCGUGGUGUAGCGGUGAAAUGCUUAGAUAUCACGAAGAACUCCGAUUGCGAAGACAGCUCACUGGACUGCAACUGACACUGAGGCUCGAAAGUGUGGGUAUCAAACAGGAUUAGAUACCCCAGUAGUC